CUGAAGUUUGUUACGCGCGAGUUCUACCGACUCACUGUUAAGCGCAACGUGGUUCAAGAUCAACAUUAAGAGUGACAUGGCUGGACUGGACGAUAACGCCGACCUAAUUUUUCAACUUUCUGAGGAGGGAAGGACGCAUGCCGAAAUUGCCAGCGCACUCCGACAGAUGGGUGCACUACGAUGCUCCGAAAUGUCAGUCAGAAGAUUCUGCAAUCGGCACCAGCUCAGACGAAAAGGACAUGUUUCCGAUGCAGAAUUGGAAGUAGCAGUCAUUUCCUCAAUUGAUAAAAACCUACGAGUUGAAAGAAUUUGGCCAGAGGUCCAUAAUCGAGUGAACUACCCCCUAAAACAAGCUCUUGUUCACUUGCUGGAUCAAGAGUUGAAUUUUGUAUCUCCAAUCUGUCAUGUCAAGUGAGUCAAACUGGACUUGGCAGGGUUGUCCAGUCGUGGAAUGCACACAGAAUCCCUGGAAGGGGGAUACCGAACGAUCUUGCUGCUGGUGGUUGUGCAGCAAGAAUUCCCCCAGAGAUGCUGCCCAGUGCUGGUGAAGCAGCACAAACGUAUGAGCUGGAGUUGGGGUCGUCCCUGACUUGGAACUCAUCCUUUGGCUCUGAUCCAUUUUCAUCAGAGGAAGGCCGACUUUAUGCUGAGCAGCUGUUAGGAGAGCGGAUUCCUGACAUUUCUCUUCUUUUUGACUCUGUUGUGAACAAUGACCACAGUAUGUUUCAAGAAGCACUGUUGUACC